rnacentral:lncRNA from 1 species
GCAUUUUUGUUUCCGAUUGAACAGUGAAACUGAUGGAGUAAUCCUGGAGUGAACAUCAACGGAGGAGUCGAGGAGGCUGGCUUUUCUUCUUCUAUGAGGCUUCAGUGCCCUGCAAGAUGACGUCAGACAGGCUUCAACGAGAGGUGGUCCACCACCUAGAGCUUCGAGGGCGAAGUGAUUAGGGUAAGAGAGGUAAGUCGGGUAAGAUGGGUAAGUCUUCA